ensembl:lncRNA
AUGACACCUGAUGCGGAUGGGGCCGCGGUCAGGACAGGAAGGAGCGGGGAGCCCCUGGGCUGUGUGACACCCUCCCGAGGCCAAGAAGAGAGAAGCAAGGAGCACAACACACGGGCGGGGGCCUCGCUCGCUCACCUGGGGCUGACCUGCAAACUCGGCGUGGACGGAUGGAUUUCCAGGGCGCGGGGCCUUCCGGAGACAAGGGCAGAGGCUCCAGCACAAACGGCCUUUUUCCUUCACAGACGCGUCGUGCCUUGUUGCCUUCAUGCAUCGCAACCUGAGAUUAGAAACAUUUUUGUGUGUCACCGUGCGGAACGGGAUUGACGGCGAGGGGACCGUUCCCGGCUCACCCGCUGCACAGUGGGGGCUGUUUCCCGUCCGCGGGUGCUGCCAGAUGCUGCCCGGGGUGGGACCCGCGGCCCGGGAUCCUUGUGCGGAUUAACGGGGACACAAAGUGGGAUCAGUACCGGGCGGGCCGCUCCCCGGGGCUGGCUUUCACCGGGCCCCCCACACGUCCUUUGCCAGUAGGCUUUCAUUAGUUUCUGAAUCCAAAGCUCCUACAGGAGAGGGCCGUCCCAUGUCCCUUCCUCCCUCGCACCCCCCGCACCCCGCCAACGCCAGCCCACGACGAUCGCACUCGCUGUGAAUCUCAGGGACGUCCCGACAGGAAAUUAUCACACGUCAUUACGUGGCUUCAAACACAAUUUUCCAGCCUUUGCAAAUCAGUCUCCGCGAGCGUGAGGGGUAAUGGGAACUGUCUGUUUCACUUUC